AUUGAACGCUGGCGGCAUGCCUUACACAUGCAAGUCGAACGGCAGCACGGGCUUCGGUCUGGUGGCGAGUGGCGAACGGGUGAGUAAAGUAUCGGAACGUACCUUUCAGUGGGGGAUAACGUAGCGAAAGUUACGCUAAUACCGCAUAUUCUGUGAGCAGGAAAGCAGGGGAUCGCAAGACCUUGCGCUGAUUGAGCGGCCGAUAUCAGAUUAGCUAGUUGGUGGGGUAAAGGCCUACCAAGGCGACGAUCUGUAGCGGGUCUGAGAGGAUGAUCCGCCACACUGGACCUGAGACACGGUCCAGACUCCUACGGGAGGCAGCAGUGGGGAAUUUUGGACAAUGGGGGCAACCCUGAUCCAGCCAUGCCGCGUGAGUGAAGAAGGCCUUCGGGUUGUAAAGCUCUUUCGGCCGGGAAGAAAUCGCAUGGGCUAAUACCCUGUGUGGAUGACGGUACCGGAAUAAGAAGCACCGGCUAACUACGUGCCAGCCGCCGCCGUAAUAC
rnacentral:rRNA from 1 species